rnacentral:misc_RNA from 1 species
AAGUCGUAACAAGGUUUCCGUAGGUGAACCUGCGGAAGGAUCAUUAACACGCAUUGAAAGCAUCCAAUAUCAACAAAUCACAACCAAACGGUCAACUAUCUCCUCCCUAUUUCGCACACCGGAGACGGUACGAGUAGGCUAACAUGUAAAUAACAAGCUCAAGCAAUUGUGCAUGUUAUUUUCAAAACACAAGAUAACCCCUUUUAAUUAUAUUAUUCAUUUAAUAUAAACGAACAACUCUUCGAAUUUGCCUUGAUUGUUCAAUCAAUCAGGAACAAGUCCGAACUAAACUAAAAUAUACAUUCGAUAUAUUUUUAUUUUACGAAAUAAUAUAUAUUUAUAAGAACAACUCUUAGCAAUGGAUAUCUUGGUUCUC